CCCUUAGAUGUUCUGGGCCGCACGCGCGCUACACUGAUGCAUUCAACGAGCCUAUCCUUGACCGACAGGUCCGGGUAAUCUUUGAAUCCGCAUCGUGACGGGGAUAGAUUAUUGCAAUUAUUAAUCUUCAACGAGGAAUGCCUAGUAGGCGCAAGUCAUCAGCUUGCGUCGAUUACGUCCCUGCCCUUUGUACACACCGCCCGUCGCUCCUACCGAUUGAAUGCUCAGGUGAGCCAUUCGGACUUUCAUCAUGCUGGUUUCCAGUUUUGAUGAAGGAAAGUCUUGCGAACCUUAUCAUUUAGAGGAAGGAGAAGUCGUAACA
rnacentral:rRNA from 1 species